rnacentral:rRNA from 1 species
UACAGAGGUCUCAAGCGUUGUUCGGAUUCAUUGGGCGUAAAGGGCGCGUAGGCGGCGGGGUAAGUCUGGUGUGAAAUCUCGGAGCUCAACUCCGAAAUUGCACUGGAUACUGCUCUGCUAGAGGGCUGGAGAGGAGAUCGGAAUUCACGGUGUAGCAGUGAAAUGCGUAGAUAUCGUGAGGAAGACCAGUGGCGAAGGCGGAUCUCUGGACAGCUCCUGACGCUGAGGCGCGAAGGCUAGGGGAGCAAACGGGG